rnacentral:rRNA from 1 species
CGCUCGUAGAGGGGCUCGCGCAUCAUCAGCUUGUUGGCGGGGUAACGGCCCACCAAGGCAUACGAUUAGCUGGUCUGAGAGGAUGACCAGCCCCACUGGGACUGAGAUACUGCCCAGACUCCUACGGGAGGCUGCAGUCGAGGAUCAUUUGCAAUGGGCGAAACCCUGAUGCAGCAACGCCGCGUGAGUGAAGAAGUAUUUCGGUAUGUAAAGCUCUAUCAGCAGGGAAGAAAAUGACGGUACCUGACUAAGAAGCCCCGGCUAACUACGUGCCAGCAGCCGCGGUAAUACGUAGGGGGCAAGCGUUAUUCGGAUUUAUUGGGUUUAAAGGGUGCGUAGGCGGCUUAUUAAGUCAGCGGUGAAAUUUAGGGGCUCAACCUCUACCGUGCCGUUGAUACUGGUAUGCUGGAAUGCGGAUGCCGUGGGAGGAAUGUGUGGUGUAGCGGUGAAAUGCAUAGAUAUCACACAGAACACCGAUUGCGAAGGCAUCUCACGAAUCCGCUAUUGACGCUGAUGCACGAAAGCGUGGGGAUCAAACAGGAUUAGAUACCCUGGUAGUCCACGCUGUAAACGAUGAUGACUAACCGUCGGCGAUACACAGUCGGUGGCCAAGCGAAAGCGAUAAGUCAUCCACCUGGGGAGUACGUUCGCAAGAAUGAAACUCAAAGGAAUUGACGGGGGCCCGCACAAGCGGAGGAACAUGUGGUUUAAUUCGAUGAUACGCGAGGAACCUUACCCGGGCUCGAACGGCAGAUGAAUUGAGUAGAGAUAUUCAAGUCUUCGGACAUCUGUCGAGGUGCUGCAUGGUUGUCGUCAGCUCGUGCUGUGAAGUGUCGGCUUAAGUGCCAUAACGAGCGCAACCCUUAUUGUUAGUUGCUAUGCAAGAGCACUCUAGCGAGACUGCCGUUGACAAAACGGAGGAAGGUGGGGACGACGUCAAAUCAUCAUGCCCCUUAUGUCCUGGGCCACACACGUACUACAAUGGCGGUUAACAAAGAGAAGCAAAACCGCGAGGUGGAGCAAAUCUCCAAAAACCGUCCCAGUUCGGAUCGCAGGCUGCAACCCGCCUGCGUGAAGUUGGAAUCGCUAGUAAUCGCGGAUCAGCAUGCCGCGGUGAAUACGUUCCCGGGCCUUGCACACACCGCCCGUCA